rnacentral:rRNA from 1 species
AGAGUUUGAUCAUGGCUCAGGAUGAACGCUAGCGGCAGGCUUAACACAUGCAAGUCGAGGGGUAACAGGGAAGCUUGCUUCCGCUGACGACCGGCGCACGGGUGCGUAACACGUAUGGAAUCUGCCCUUUACUGGAGAAUAGCCCGGAGAAAUCCGGAUUAAUGCUCCAUAAUAAACGGAACGGCAUCGUUCUGUUUUGAAAGCUCCGGCGGUAAAGGAUGACCAUGCGCCUGAUUAGUUUGUUGGUGAGGUAACGGCUCACCAAGACUACGAUCAGUAGGGGGCCUGAGAGGGUUAUCCCCCACACUGGUACUGAGACACGGACCAGACUCCUACGGGAGGCAGCAGUGAGGAAUAUUGCGCAAUGGAGGCAACUCUGACGCAGCCAUGCCGCGUGCAGGAAGAAGGCGCUACGCGUUGUAAACUGCUUUUAACCGGGAAGAAACCCCUCGACGUGUCGAGGGUUGACGGUACCGGUGGAAUAAGCACCGGCUAACUUCGUGCCAGCCGCCGCGGUAAUAC